rnacentral:rRNA from 1 species
CCUACGGGAGGCAGCAGUGAGGAAUAUUGGUCAAUGGGCGAAAGUCUGAACCAGCCAAGUAGCGUGAAGGAUGACUGCCCUAUGGGUUGUAAACUUCUUUUAUAUGGGAAUAAAAUGUUCCACGUGUAGGGUUUUGUAUGUACCAUAUGAAUAAGGAUCGGCUAACUCCGUGCCAGCAGCCGCGGUAAUACGGAGGAUCCGAGCGUUAUCCGGAUUUAUUGGGUUUAAAGGGAGCGUAGGUGGAUUGUUAAGUCAGUUGUGAAAGUUUGCGGCUCAACCGUAACAUUGCAGUUGGAACUGGCAGUCUUGAGUACACGAGAGGUGGGCGGAAUUCGUGGUGUAGCGGUGAAAUGCUGAGAUAUCACGAAGAACUCCGAUUGCGAAGGCAGCUCACUGGACUGCAACUGACACUGAUGCUCGAAAGUGUGGGUAUCAAACAGGAUUAGAUACCCGAGUAGUC